rnacentral:ribozyme from 1 species
UUUUCUAUUUUUUUCCCUUUUUUGCCUCUGCUCAAUCUUUCAUCCAAAUUGGAGUGAAAGGUGAAAGGGAAGGGAGGAGGUAAAAAGAAGAGAGGUGGGAAAAAAAAGAAAAAAGAGGAAAG